rnacentral:rRNA from 1 species
AACUUUCGACCUGAGCUCAGGCAAG